AAGAUGGAAGAAAAUAAUUUUUUUAAAAAGAUGGGAGAAUAUUUAUCUUAACUCUCAAGGUGUAUAAUUUUGAUGUAAAAUUGUUGGAUAUAACCUCUUUUAAGUUAAGUAGGAGUAGAAACUUACGAGUCAAGUUCCGGAUCUCAGCCCAUGUGAGACUAAAAGUGUAUAUCCCACUAUUUGAGCUAAUCUCAGGAACUUGUUUUGAGCGUUGCGCAAAAGGUGUUUGGGAGAUCAUUGUGCUGUUCGAGAGAUCUAUUGAACGUGAGCAAAAAGGUACGCCGUCGCUGGACAUCUGGACUGAGCAAUCGAUAACAUCAGCACCAUCUUUGAUGGCUUUAUCAUAUGCCAAGUCUGUACAUCCAGGGUAGUCCCCACUCGCUCCAUUUUUCGAUAUAAUAAGAAACUCAACUGAAGCAUGAACCAUUUGAUAGAGUCAAGGUAGGUCUCUUUUAUACAAGUAAAAAAAUAACUAUAAAGUAAUUACUCUUACUACCUUGUUUUAUAGCGUUUUCACCAAGGUGGGAGAAGCAGUCUUCAGGAAAAUAUGAAAAGAAAAUGAUUGAUUUGAGUAUUUCGAGUAAUGUUUCAAGGAGAUCGAAUAUAUUCGCAAUUUGAUACAAUGCCGUCCAGUCCAAAUUUAUCGAGGUCUUGCCUGAGAUGAAUUUAUCAAGGGACCCAUUUCCCAAAAAUUCAUAUAUAAUUGCUCUUUUGGAACCUUCGGAGCAGAAACCAAGCAAGGAAACAAUGUUGUGGUGAGAUGUUUGACUCAUGCUUGCAACUUCAUUGGUGAAAUCUUCACCGUUACCCUUUGAAUCUUUCAAGACCUUCACCGCCACCAUACGGCCAUCAGAAAGAGUUCCUCUAUAAACAAUUCCAAAUCCGCCUCUCCCGACCACUUCUGCGAAUGACUUUGUAAUUCUUUUCACUUGUGCAUAAGUGUAGUGUCUGAGUGGAAUAAGCGACUUCAGAUUCUGUUGUCUCUGGCGUACUCUUCUCUUCCGGAGAAAAAGAAACAAUGCUAAUAAGACCAAGAAUAUAACAAUGCCUGCUACUGAACCUGAAACUAGAAAAUCGGAGAAAUUUAGUGAGUUAAGUAUCUUCAUUUUAAUACACAGAAACAGGUCAAAGAAUAUCUUCCCAGCAAACUAACCUUUGCCAAUGACAUUGACCGAAGACCCUAUUCAAACGUUCAACAAGUAAAAUUUUGUCAGAAACCAAACUUGACCUCCAAAGAAAGGUAAAAGACAACAGAAAAACAUGUUGAGUCAAAUAACCUUUGCCAAUUGCUUUGACCGGAGAACCUGUUCAACCAUUCAACAAGUAGAAUUUUGUCAAAAUGGAACCAAAAUUGACCUCCAGAUAAAGGUAAAAGACAACAGAAAAAAUGUGUCAGUCAAAUAACCUUACUAAUCGGAAACAGUUUAAAAUUUAUCUUCCCAUUAUACUAACCUUUGUGAACUCUGUUGGCCGAAGACACUGUUAUAACCGUUCCACAUGUAAACUUUUGUCAGAAUGAAACCAAACUGAAGUAAAAGAAUAAAUAAGAGAAGACAAUGGUUUACCGUGACUAGAGCUACAUGUAUCGCCAUGGGUCCCAUCGUCACAAUAGCAGACGAAUCCACCUGAAGUUUGAUUAUAUCCACAAGCACCUUUAGAUUCUAGGCAAAUUGAGCAGUCUUCUUUAAGUUCAAGUUCAAAACCCUGUUCAAGAGUCUUCUUUAGACUGUGUAACUUCGAUCCCGAGACAGGCAUGCUGACGUAUUUUGUGCAAUUGUUCUCCAAGUUGUCAAUACCAUCCCUCCCGCUGAAUAAAGCAGACGAGCUGUUUAUCACGACACAGUAGUUUCUCACACCUGCUAUUUGAUCCUUACAAUGAAACUCCGUAGCAUAAUUGUAAACGUUGCUUUUAAAGAUCAGAGAUGACAAGUCUGGGCAGCCAUAUAACAUUUUUAGCAGAUCAGUGUCGGUAGCCAGUUGAAGGGCGUUUUGGAGGAACGGUCCAUUUAGUGGGUUUGAAGGACAAAGAUUGUCGAUAUAAUCUGAUCUGGCGAGUCUUAUAAUAUGAGAGGUGUAAUUUGCCUCUAAGAUUCUAAACUUCACAGAGGAGACUGUAAUCUCUGCGAAUCCACUGCUACAACUGAGGUUGAAGUCGGGGUUGCCGCAGGCUACUCUGUCAGGUAUCCAGAAUGGGUAUAAGAGACCGCUCUGAUCCCCACAGCGAAAUGGUUGACUGCAUCGUUUGUAAUGAUCAUAAGCUGAGAAAUCAUCAUCUGUGAAAACCGGGUUUGGAGCUUGGGCUGGAGGUAUGGCAUUCACAGCUUUUAAGAGAGAACCCGGUUCAAAAGGGGCCAUGUAAGGUGGUAGAGUUUCUUGUGUUCCCAAACAUCGAUUCCCUGCAGAAGAGAAACAAAAAGUUAGGCAUUGUUGUGAAACCUUUGGUUCUCAAUAUUUGGGGCCACUUACUUUUGUAUCUUGCUGCUGUGAAAGGGAACUCUGUGAUGGUUCCAUUGAUACCGGCUCCAAGGAUAUAUGAGUUUAUCUCGACGGUUGGGUCAGAGAAGAAGUCAUAUGGUUGAGAUACAAACUCGUUCUGAAACAGUUCCACAUAAACCGGGAGCUUAGACUUCUGCAGCUUCUCCACAACAUUGGUUUGCCCAGCGAUGAAAGAAUCAAACACAUUAAAGACUGAUUCUUUUCCGAUGACAACAGCAUUAGCAAAUUUCUUUAUGUCUUCGAUAGCAUAGUCCUUAAUAUCACUAAUGGUUUUUCCAAUUUUGUAGACAGUCUCAUACUUGCUCUGCUUCUUGAAGUCAACUAGGAUGGAGCUUUCCGUUGACUGAAUCAUGACCUUUGUUGUGGUUAUUCCAUUGCUAUAUCCAGUUUCCGUGAGGGUAUCCAGAACCGCUUUGACCACGUCGAGCCCUUGCUUCUCUCUCAGGUACACUGCAUUCUGAGGGACACAAUAAAAUUAAGUGGCUUUGACACGCCAUAGUCUGAUUGUUAAAAUACUUCCUCGGUUCCAUAUUGUAGUUUUAAAAUUUUCAUGUAUUUUAAGAAUAUAGUUACAAUACCCAUAUUACGGAAAAAUUGCCAAAACGGAACAAAAAAACAACAUAGUUGUCACUAUGGUAUAAAAUCAUAUUUGUCUAUUUAUUUUCUCUUUUACCCUUUUCAUUUCUGAAAUUUAAUGACAUAAAUAAUUUUAUGAAUCCAAAAAAAUAUUAAAAAUAUAAACAAUUAAUAAAACACCUAUAUACACAAACACAUUUUUUUGGUUAAAAAAAUUGAUAAAUAAAAGUUUAUAAUUACGUUACACUAAAAGUAGAAUUCGUCUUCUACGGAAAAUGGAUUAGUAGAAAACGAAUUCCAGAAUAAACAAGUCCAUUUACUUUUUUUAGAAGAAACAAUCUAACAAUGAUUAAAAUUCUAAAUAUGGGGAAUGCAAAUUCUACUAAUUGUAAAGAUGACUACUUUUCUUUUGAAUGAAGUUUUUACUUUUAUGAAGUAUUCUAAAAUUCUCGGGUAUGUGAAAUCUAAACUUAACACGAACGUCUACAAAAAAUAGAAAUUGUAUUCAGAAUUUUUGUCAUGGUUUUACACAGUGUCGAAUGUGUCUUCUACGAAUAAAAAACAAGUUUUUCCAAAAAUCAAGGAAGUUUCAGUUAAGAAAAUAUUCUAAAAAUAUUAUAAUUUCCUAAAAUGUGUCAUGUUCGAUUUUCUUUGUCAAAAUAUAAAAAAAACGAUUUUGGCUUUUCUUCUUCAUCAAUCUAUGAUUUCUCCAUAGUUUUUCUUGUUAUUUUCACAAACUCUUGUUCUAUGAUGCAUAUCUAUACAAUAUGUGGUGUUUGGGAAUUUAGUGCAAGCACGGGAUGGGUUUUUCGGCUGAUGAUAAAGGGGGUAGGCUACUAUUAUUAGAAUCAAGUUCUACCUUAGAGGAUUUUAAAAGAAUAGUUUUGGAGGAUUUUAGAAACCAAAUGCAAUUGGGUUACAUGAUAUUUUUGAUUUGUGUCGUGUGUUCUUUUUUUUUUCAAAAUUGUUUUAGCAUUUUUUUUUCCUUUCUAAAACAUUAUAGGUUACCUUAUUUUUUUAAAUCCUUUUCCACUAAACUUUUAAAAAAUGGUUUUAAUUUAUGUUUAAUUUGAUUUAGGUAAUGUUAGUUUUGGGAUUAUGAAAAAUAUUAUACUAUAGGACAACUUAAUGAUGGUUUUAUACCAUAGAGACAACUAUGUUAUUUUUUUGUUCCGUUUUGAUAAUUUUCCCUAUUACGGAACAUUUAUUAUAUGUAUUAAUUGUCAUAAUUAAUAUAGGCAAAGGGGUAAAAAACUACUACAUCUGUUUUAAUGUGUCAUUUUUUAUUUUUUAUUUUGUCAAAAUAAGUAUCAUUCUACAAUUUCAGUAUAACUUUGUACAUUAAAUUUAUUUUUAUCAUUUUGAAUAACCAAUAAACUUUUGAUUAAAUUAUUUUUAUUUAAUUAAUCUCAUACAUUAAAUAAGUAUAUAUUAGUUAAUUAAUCUUCGUACAAAAAUGUUAAUAUGCAAUGGAGGGAGUGUAAAGUUACAUUGAAACCACGAAACUAGUAUCUUUGUGAAACAAAUAAAAAUCUCAAAACUACGAUCUUUGCAGUAAGGAGGAGUAAUAAUAUUAAGAGGUUGGAGAACUCACUUCUACACUGAUCAAAACACCUGAGAGCGAAGUUGAAUUCUUUGCCAAGUUUAGGAACUCAGAAAGCAAAAUUAGCUUUCCUGAAUUUUUCUUAUUCGGAUUCCUGAACAUAGUGUAUGACCUAUAGGGGUUUUCAAUCGCAGCUGCACGAAAAGAUGGAAGAAAAUAAUUUUUUUAAAAAGAUGGGAGAAUAUUUAUCUUAACUCUCAAGGUGUAUAAUUUUGAUGUAAAAUUGUUGGAUAUAACCUCUUUUAAGUUAAGUAGGAGUAGAAACUUACGAGUCAAGUUCCGGAUCUCAGCCCAUGUGAGACUAAAAGUGUAUAUCCCACUAUUUGAGCUAAUCUCAGGAACUUGUUUUGAGCGUUGCGCGAAAGGUGUUUGGGAGAUCAUUGUGCUGUUCGAGAGAUCUAUUGAACGUGAGCAAAAAGGUACGCCGUCGCUGGACAUCUGGACUGAGCAAUCGAUAACAUCAGCACCAUCUUUGAUGGCUUUAUCAUAUGCCAAGUCUGUACAUCCAGGGUAGUCCCCACUCGCUCCAUUUUUCGAU
rnacentral:lncRNA from 1 species